AGGUUGUCCCUCACAUCACAGAUGCUAUCCAAGACUGGAUUAAGUGUGUAGCACAUAUACCAGUUGAUGGAAAGUCAGGCCCUGCUGAGCACCAGUAUUGGUCAUUUGGUCUUGGCCUUAAUCUUUGGGGCAGCCUUGAUUGCUUAAAAGCAGUUUGCUUCAAGAGGGUCUGCUACUGUGCCUAUCUAUCACAUUCAAAGGGCAAAACACUUCCUUUUAUUACUGUUGAAGAAGGUUGAUUUUCAAAUUUGAGCCUUCAAUGUUUGUAUGACUGAGCAUAGCAAAGUUGCUAGUGGUAAAGUUGCAGCCAUGGAGAGGAACAUGAAGAAAUUUAUGUUUUCUGAUGUAUUUUAAUUGAAAUUGCAUACGAUCUGUACAGUAAAUUUUACAAUUUUAUGGUUAUAGGUG
rnacentral:lncRNA from 1 species